UUUUCUCAUUUUAUCGAAGAAAGCGUAAAACCUAAUUAUAUUUUUCUAUUAUGACCAGAGAGUGUAAAUUUGGAACGAAUCGAUGUCAACGCUCACAAGAACAAAAAUCGGAACAACAUUAGACUACUCAGUUGCUCCAUAACAGUAUAACUUUGCAACGAGUACUUUUUCUCAUUUUAUCGAAGAAAACGCAAAAUCUAAUUAUAUUGUUCUAUUAUGCCCAGAGAGUGUAAAUUUGGAACGAAUCGAUGUCAACGCUCACAUGAACAAAAAUCGGGACAACAUUAGACUACUGAGUUGCGCCCUAACAGUAUAAAUUUGCAACGAGACCUUUUUCUCAUUUUAUCGAAGAAAGCAUCAAACCUAAUUAUAUUGUUCUAUUAUGCCCAGACAGUGUAAUUUUGGAACGAAUCGAUGUCAACGCUCACAAGAAUAAAAACCGGAACAACAUUAGACUACUCAGUCGCGCCCUAACAGUAUAACUUUGCAACGAGUACUUUUUCUCAUUUUAUCGAACAAAGCGUCAAACCUAAUUAUAUUGAUUUAUUAUGCCCAGAGAGUGUAAAUUUAGAACGAAUCGAUGUCAACGCUCACAAGAACAAAAACCGGAACAACAAUAGACUACUUAGUUGCGCCAUAACAGUAUAACUUUGCAACGAAUGCUUUUUCUCAUUUUAUCGAAAAAGCGCAAAUUUAAUUAUAUUGUUCUAUAAUGCCCAGAGAGUGUAAAAUUUGGAACGAAUCGAUGUCAACGCUCACAAGAACAAAAACCGGAACAACAUGAGACUACUCAGUUACGCCCUAACAGUAUAAAUUUGCAACGAGCACUUUUUCUCAUUUUAUCGAAGAAAGCAUUAAACCUAAUUAUAUUGUAAUAUUAUGCCCAGAGGGUGUAAAUUUGGAACGAAUCGAUGUCAACGCUCACAAGAACAAAAACCGGAACAACAUUAGACUACUCAGUUGCGCCAUAACAGUAUAAUUUUGCAACGAGUGCUUUUCUCAUUUCAUCGAAGAAAGCGCAAAUCUAAUUAUAUUGUUCUAUUAUGCCCAGAGAGUGUAAAUUUGGAACGAAAUCGAUGUCAACGCUCACAAGAACAAAAACAGGAACAACAUUAGACUACUCAGUUGCGCCCUUACAGUAUAACUUUGCAACGAGUACUUUUUCUCAUUUUAUCGAAGAAAGCGUAAAACCUAAUUGUAUUCUUCUAUUAUGCCCAGAGAGUGUAAAUUUGGAACGAAUCGAUGUCAACGUUCACAAGAACAAAAACCGGAACAACAUUAGACUACUCAGUUGCGCCCUAACAGUAUAACUUUGCGACGAGUACUUUUUCUCAUUCUAUCGAACAAAGAGUAAAACAUAAUUAUAUUGUUCUAUUAUGCCCAGAGAGUGUAAAUUUGGAACGAAUCGAUGUCAACGCUCGCAAGAACAAAAACCGAAACAACUUUAGACUACUCAGUUGCGCAAUAACAGUAUAACAUUGCAACGAGUGAUUUUUCUCAUUUUAUCGAAGAAAGCGUAAAACCUAAUUAUAUUUUUCUAUUAUGACCAGAGAGUGUAAAUUUGGAACGAAUCGAUGUCAACGCUCACAAGAACAAAAAUCGGAACAACAUUAGACUACUCAGUUGCGCCCUAACAGUAUAACUUUGCAACGAGUACUUAUUCUCAUUUUAUCGAACAAAGCGUCAAACCUAAUUAUAUUGAUUUAUUAUGCCCAGAGAGUGUAAAUUUGGAACGAAUCAAUGUCAGCGCUCACAGGAACAAAAACCGGAACAACAAUAGACUGCUUAGUUGCGCCAUAACAGUAUAACUUUGCAACGAGUGCUUUUUCUCAUUUUAUCGAAAAAGCGCAAAUUUAAUUAUAUUGUUCUAUUCUGCCCAGAGAGUGUAAAUUUGGAACGAAUCGAUGUCAACGCUCACAAGAAAAAAAACCAGAACAACAUUAGACUACUCAGUUGCGACAUAACAGUAUAACUUUGCAACGAGUACUUUUUCUCAUUUUAUCGAAGAAAACGCAAAAUCUAAUUAUAUUGUUCUAUUAUGCCCAGAGAGUGUAAAUUUGGAACGAAUCGAUGUCAACGCUCACAUGAACAAAAAUCGGGACAACAUUAGACUACUGAGUUGCGCCCUAACAGUAUAAAUUUGCAACGAGACCUUUUUCUCAUUUUAUCGAAGAAAGCAUCAAACCUAAUUAUAUUGUUCUAUUAUGCCCAGACAGUGUAAUUUUGGAACGAAUCGAUGUCAACGCUCACAAGAAUAAAAACCGGAACAACAUUAGACUACUCAGUCGCGCCCUAACAGUAUAACUUUGCAACGAGUACUUUUUCUCAUUUUAUCGAAGAAAGCGUCAAACCUAAUUAUAUUGUUCUAUAAUGCCCAGAGAGUGUAAAUUUGGAACGAAUCGAUAUCAACACUCACAAAAAUAAAAACCGGAACAACAUUUGAGUACUCAGUUGUGCCUCUAACAGGUAUAACUUUUUGCAACCAGUACUUUAUUCUCAUUUUUUUGAAGUAAGCGGCCAAAACUAAUUUAUAUUGUAUUCUAUUUAGCCCCAGAGAGCUUGUAAAUUUCUGGAACGAAUUGAUGUCAACGCUCCACAAGAACAAAAACUGGAACAAAAUUAGGCUACUUAGUUGCGCCCUAACAGUAUAACUUUGCAACGAGUGCUUUUUCACAUUUUAUCGAAGAAAGCGUCAAACCUAAUUAUAUUGCUCUAUAAUGCCCAGAGAGUGUAAAUUUGGAACGAAUCGAUAUCAACACUCACAAAAAUAAAAACCGGAACAACAUUUGAGCACUCAGUUGUGUGCCCUUAACAGGUAUAACUUUUGCAACCAGUACUUUUUCUUCAUUUUAUCGAAAGUAAUGCGUCAAAACUAAUUUAUAUUAUGUCUCUUUUACGCCCAGAAGAGAGUAAAUCUGGAACGGAAUCGAUGUCAACGCUCACAAGAACAAAAACUGGAACAAAAUUAGGCUACUUAGUUGCGCCCUAACAGUAUAACUUUGCAACGAGUGCUUUUUCACAUUUUAUCGAAGAAAGCGUCAAACCUAAUUAUAUUGCUCUAUAAUGCCCAGAGAGUGUAAAUUUGGAACGAAUCGAUAUCAACACUCACAAAAAUAAAAACCGGAACAACAUUUGAGUACUCAGUUGCGCCUUAACAGUAUAACUUUGCAACCAGUACUUUUUCUCAUUUUAUCGAAGUAAGCGUCAAACCUAAUUAUAUUAUUCUAUUAUGCCCAGAGAGUGUAAAUUUGGAACGAUUCGAUGUCAACGCUCACAAGAACAAAAACCGGAACAACAUUAGACUCUUCAGUUGCACCCUAACAGUAUAACUUUGCAACGCGUACUUUUUCUCGUUUUAUCGAAGAAAGCGUAAAAUCUAAUUAUAUUGUUGUAUUAUGCCCAGAUAGUGUAAAUUUGGAACGAAUCGAUGUCAACGCUCACAAGAACAAAAACCGGAACAACAUUAGAGCACUCAGUUCCGCCAUAACAGUAUAACUUUGCAACGAGUGCUUUUUUUCAUUUUAUCGAAGAAAGCGUAAAACCUAGUUAUAUUAUUCUAUUAUGCCCAGAGAGUGUAAAUUUGGAACGAAUCGAUUUCAACGCUCACAAGAACAAAAACCGGAACAACAUUAGACUACUCAGUUGCGCCCUAACAGUAUAACUUUGCAACGAGUACUUUUUCUCAUUUAUCGAAGAAAGCGUCAAACCUAAUUAUAUUGUUCUAUCUUGCCCAGAGAGUGUAAAUUUGGAACGAAUCGAUGUCAAAGCUCACAAGAACAAAAAUCGGAUCAAUAUUAGACUACUCAGUUGCGCCCUAACAGUAUAACUUUGCAACGAGUGCUUUUUCUCAUUUUAUCGAAGAAAGCGUAAAUCUAAUUAUAUUGUUCUAUUAUACCUAGAGAGUGUAAAAUUGGAACGAACUGAUGUGAGCGCUCACAAGAACAAAAACCGGAUCAAUAUUAGACUACUCAGUUCCGCCCUAACAGUAUAACUUUGCAACGAGUACUUUUUCUCAUUUAUCGAAGAAAGCGUCAAACCUAAUUAUAUUGUUCUAUUAUGCCCAGAGAGUGUAAAUUUGGAACGAAUCGAUUUUAAAGCUCACAAGAACAAAAACCGGAACAAUAUUAGACAACUCAGUUGCGCCCGAACAGUAUAACUUUGCAACGAGUGCUUUUUCUCAUUUUAUCGAAGAAAGCGUCAAACCUCAUUAUAUUGUUCUAUUAUGCCGAGAGAGUGUAAAUUUGGAACGAAUCGAUGUCAACGCUCACAAGAACAAAAACCGGAACAACAUUAGACUCUUCAGUUGCACCCUAACAGUAUAACUUUGCAACGCGUACUUUUUCUCGUUUUAUCGAAGAAAGCGUAAAAUCUAAUUAUAUUGUUGUAUUAUGCCCAGAUAGUGUAAAUUUGGAACGAAUCGAUGUCAACGCUCACAAGAACAAAAACCGGAACAACAUUAGAGCACUCAGUUCCGCCAUAACAGUAUAACUUUGCAACGAGUGCUUUUUUUCAUUUUAUCGAAGAAAGCGUAAAACCUAGUUAUAUUAUUCUAUUAUGCCCAGAGAGUGUAAAUUUGGAACGAAUCGAUUUCAACGCUCACAAGAACAAAAACCGGAACAACAUUAGACUACUCAGUUGCGCCCUAACAGUAUAACUUUGCAACGAGUACUUUUUCUCAUUUUAUCGAAGAAAGCGUAAAAUCUAAUUAUAUUGUUCUAUUAUUCCCAGAUAGUGUAAAUUUGGAACGAAUUGAUGUCAACGCUCACAAGAACAAAAACCGGAACAACUUUAGACUACUCAGUUGCGCCUAACAGUAUAACUUUGCAACGAGUACUUUUUCUCAUUUUAUCGAAGAAAGCGUCAAAACUAAUUAUAUUGUUCUAUUACGCCCAGAGAGUGUAAAUUUGGAACGAAUUGAUGUCAACGCUCACAAGAACAAAAACUGGAACAAAAUUAGGCUACUUAGUUGCGCCCUAACAGUAUAACUUUGCAACGAGUGCUUUUUCACAUUUUAUCGAAGAAAGCGUCAAACCUAAUUAUAUUGCUCUAUAAUGCCCAGAGAGUGUAAAUUUGGAACGAAUCGAUAUCAACACUCACAAAAAUAAAAACCGGAACAACAUUUGAGUACUCAGUUGCGCCUUAACAGUAUAACUUUGCAACCAGUACUUUUUCUCAUUUUAUCGAAGUAAGCGUCAAACCUAAUUAUAUUAUUCUAUUAUGCCCAGAGAGUGUAAAUCUGGAACGAAUCGAUGUCAACGCUCACAAGAACAAAAACCGGAACAACAUUAGACUACUCAGUUGCGCCAUAACAAUAUAACUUUGCAACGAGUACUUUUUCUUAUUUUAUCGAAGAAAGCGUAAAUCCUAAUUAUAUUAUUCUAUUAUGCCCAGAGAGAGUAAAUUUAGAACCAAUCGAUGUCAACGCUCACAAGAACAAAAAUCGGAACAACAAUAGACUACUCAGUUGCACCCUAACAGUAUAACUUUACAACGAGUGCUUUUUCUCAUUUUAUCGAAGAAGGCGUCAAACCUAAUUAUAUUGUUCUAUUAUUCCGAGAAAGUGUAAAUUUGGAACGAAUCGAUGUCAAAGCUCACAAGAACAAAAACCGGAACAAUAUUGGACUACUCAGUUGCGCCCUAACAGUAUAACUUUGCAACGAGUGCUUUUUCCCAUUUUAUCGAAGAAAGCGUAAAUGCUAAUUAUAUUGUUCUAUUAUGCCCAGAGAGUGUAAAUUUGGAACGAACCGAUGUCAGCGCUCACAAGAACAAAAACCGGAACAACAUUAGACUAAUCAGUUGCGCCCGAACAGUAUAAUUUUGCAACGAGUGAUUUUUCUCAUUUUAUCGAAGAAAGCGUCAAACCUAAUUAUAUUGUUCUAUUAUGCCCAGAGAGUGUAAAUUUGGAACGAAUCGAUGUCAACGCUCACAUGAACAAAAAUCGGGACAACAUUAGACUACUGAGUUGCGCCCUAACAGUAUAAAUUUGCAACGAGACCUUUUUCUCAUUUUAUCGAAGAAAGCAUCAAACCUAAUUAUAUUGUUCUAUUAUGCCCAGACAGUGUAAUUUUGGAACGAAUCGAUGUCAACGCUCACAAGAAUAAAAACCGGAACAACAUUAGACUACUCAGUCGCGCCCUAACAGUAUAACUUUGCAACGAGUACUUUUUCUCAUUUUAUCGAAGAAAGCGUCAAACCUAAUUAUAUUGUCUAUUAUGACCAGAGAGUGUAAAUUUGGAACGAAUCGAUGUCAACGCUCACAAGAACAAAAACCGGAAGAAAAUUAGACCACUUAGUUGCGCCCUAACAGUAUAACUUUGCAACGAGUACUUUUUCUCAUUUUAUCGAAUAAAGCGUAAAACCUAAUUAUAUUGUUCUAUUAUGCCCAGAGAGUGUAAAUUUGGAACGAAUCGAUGUCAACGCUCACAAGAACAAAAACCGGAAUAACUUUAGACUACUCAGUUGCGCCAUAACAAUAUAACUUUGCAA
rnacentral:lncRNA from 1 species